CAUAACCCUUUGUUGUCCGACUCUGUUGCCUCCGGGGCGACCCUGCCUUCGGGCGGGGGCUCCGGGUGGACACUUCAAACUCUUGCGUAACUUUGCAGUCUGAGUAAACUUAAUUAAUAAAUUAAAACUUUUAACAACGGAUCUCUUGGUUCUGGCAUCGAUGAAGAACGCAGCGAAAUGCGAUAAGUAAUGUGAAUUGCAGAAUUCAGUGAAUCAUCGAAUCUUUGAACGCACAUUGCGCCCCCUGGUAUUCCGGGGGGCAUGCCUGUUCGAGCGUCAUUUCACCACUCAAGCCUCGCUUGGUAUUGGGCAACGCGGUCCGCCGCGUGCCUCAAAUCGACCGGCUGGGUCUUCUGUCCCCUAAGCGUUGUGGAAACUAUUCGCUAAAGGGUGCUCGGGAGGCUACGCCGUAAAACAAACCCAUUUCUAAGGUUGACCUCGGAUCAGGUAGGGAUACCCGCUGAACUUAAGCAU
rnacentral:rRNA from 1 species